UGAGUAAUGUCUGGGAAACUGCCUGAUGAGGGGGGAUAACUACUGGAAACGGUAGCUAAUACCGCAUAACGUCGCAAGACCAAAGAGGGGGACCUUCGGGCCUCUUGCCAUCAGAUGUGCCCAGAUGGGAUUAGCUAGUAGGUGGGGUAACGGCUCACCUAGGCGACGAUCCCUAGCUGGUCUGAGAGGAUGACCAGCCACACUGGAACUGAGACACGGUCCAGACUCCUACGGGAGGCAGCAUG
rnacentral:rRNA from 1 species